rnacentral:rRNA from 2 species
UUGUCUACUAAUUAUAGACCAGCAUGAAAGGCAAAAUGAGGGUCUAACUGUCUCUUAUAAUAAAUCAAUGAAACUGAUCUCCUAGUAAAAAAGCUAGAAUUACAACAUAAGACCAGAAGACCCUGUGAAGCUUAAACUAAACUAUUAAAACAAAUAAUAACUACUUUAGGUUGGGGCGACCUUGGAAAAAAAAAGAACUUCCAAACACUAUGAUCUAUACCUCAUAAAACCUAGGCCCACAAGCCAAACAACGACCCAGCAUAGCUGAAAACUGAACCAAGUUACUCCAGGGAUAACAGCGCAAUCUUCUUCAAGAGCCCAUAUCAAAAAGCAAGGUUUACGACCUCGAUGUUGGAUCAGGACAUCCUAAUGGUGCAGCCGCUAUUAAGGGUUCGUUUGUUCAACGAUU